CAGUAGCCGCGGGAAUACGGAGGGUGCAAGCGUUAAUCGGAAUUACUGGGCGUAAAGCGCACGCAGGCGGUUUGUUAAGUCAGAUGUGAAAUCCCCGAGCUUAACUUGGGAACUGCAUUUGAAACUGGCAAGCUAGAGUCUUGUAGAGGGGGGUAGAAUUCCAGGUGUAGCGGUGAAAUGCGUAGAGAUCUGGAGGAAUACCGGUGGCGAAGGCGGCCCCCUGGACAAAGACUGACGCUCAGGUGCGAAAGCGUGGGGAGCAAACGGGAUUAGAUACCCGCGUAGUCCCUGUCUCUUAUAC
rnacentral:rRNA from 1 species